AUUGAACGCUGGCGGCAUGCCUUACACAUGCAAGUCGAACGGCAGCACGGGUGCUUGCUCCUGGUGGCGAGUGGCGAACGGGUGAGUAAUACAUCGGAACAUGUCCUGUAGUGGGGGAUAGCCCGGCGAAAGCCGGAUUAAUACCGCAUACGAUCCACGGAUGAAAGCGGGGGACCUUCGGGCCUCGCGCUAUAGGGUUGGCCGAUGGCUGAUUUGCUAGUUGGUGGGGUAAAGGCCUACCAAGGCGACGAUCAGUAGCUGGUCUGAGAGGACGACCAGCGACACUGGGACUGAGCCACGGACCAGACUCCUACGGGAGGCAGCAGUGGGGAAUUUUGGACAAUGGGCGAAAGCCUGAUCCAGCAAUGCCGCGUGUGUGAAGAAGGCCUUCGGGUUGUAAAGCACUUUUGUCCGGAAAGAAACCCUUGGCUCUAAUACAGUCGGGGGAUGACGGUACCGGAAGAAUAAGCACCGGCUAACUACGUG
rnacentral:rRNA from 1 species